CUAGCUGCCAUGGCAACAAACAUCAACUUCCGGUCCAGCGGCAGCGUGUACGGUUCGGACUAACUGCCUCCUCUGAUCCAGAUUCCCUGAAGAAGACCUUCCAACCCUGACCAGUAACCAUGCCAACCCGGACGGUGCCCACCAAGCCGAAACAGAGUAUCGCGGCGGCGCCCGUCCAGACACAGAAGUCGAUUGCCCCCAAACCGCCAAAGCAAGUGGCAAAGAAGAGGG